AAUGAACGCUGGCGGCGUGCCUAACACAUGCAAGUCGGAUGUGCCGCAAGGUGCAUGGCAGACGGGUGAGUAACGCGUAGGGAAUCUACCUUUUUGUGGGGAAUAACGCUCCGAAAGGAGUGGUAAUACCGCAUGAGACCGUGAGCUGGGAUGUUCACGGUGAAACCUGGGGACCGCAAGGCCUGGGGCAAAAAGAGGAUCCUGCGUCUGAUUAGCUAGUUGGCGGGGUAAUGGCCCACCAAGGCGACGAUCAGUAGCCGGCCUGAGAGGGUGAUCGGCCACACUGGAACUGAGACACGGUCCAGACUCCUACGGGAGGCAGCAGUGGGGAAUUUUGGGCAAUGGACGAAAGUCUGACGCAGCAACGCCGCGUGGGUGAUGAAGGUCUUCGGACUGUAAAACCCUGUCGUCAGGGACGAAGGUGGCAGUGUUAAUAGCGCUGUUACUUGACGGUACCUGGAGAGGAAGCCCCGGCUAACUCUGUG
rnacentral:rRNA from 1 species